UCUCAGCCAUCGGAGUAACUAGGAUUAUAGGUGUGCACCAACCACCUGGCGUGUUGUUUUAAACCACUAAAGUUUAGGUUGUUUGUUAGCCAGAUAUACUAACAAAAAUGAUAUGGAGAGGAGACAGGGAAAUACUGGGUAGAAGAGGGUGGUUCCCUGGCAAAGGCCCCACCCUCAAGCCUGGAUAACUGUGGCUCUAAGUGAGAACAGGCAUUCCUGUUUUCAUGCCCCCAAAGUUGCCUUUUGGCCUGCCAUGCCCCCAUCGUGUACCCAUAUAAAACCCUUAACUCCAGGCUCCAGGAGCAGACAAGGAGAUGAGGGGAUGAAUAGAUGAAUGGCAGAAUGGUGAGGCAGAGAAGGAGAGAAAAGAAGGAAUGUUGGGAGGAAUUUGGCUGGGGAUGGUCAGAGAAUAGGCCACUGGAUGGCCAAACUCCAGGGGAAGAUAUUCUUCCCACUUCAUCCCCUGUCCAGUUUCCCAUCGAUCCUGCUGAGAGCCACCUCCACCACUCAAUAAAAUCUCCAUAUUUAUCCUUCAAGUCUAUGUGUGACCUGAUUCUUCUGGGAUGCUGCACAAGAGCUCAUGAUACAGAAAACUGUCAUACUGGACCCUUCCCUUUACAAAAAGGCAGAGGGUCCAAUGAGUUGGUUAACCCUUGGGCCAUCCGGAGACAGUAAGGCUAAAAGGGUGCACUGUAACACGUGCCCACUUGGGCUUUGGGAGUAGCAGACACCUACCCCUAUAGGCUGCUGUGGGGCCAGAGCCCCAAAGCACUUGCCCUGCUUCUUGCACCUGCCCAUCUGCAUGCUCUCCCUUCUGUAAGGGGUUUGAGCUUGUGGUAGCCGAACAGACAGUCACAUCCCUGUCACAUGUCCUGUGAGGGGUUGGGGGCAGGGAACUCUCUCCCUUCAAAAACAGCCUGGAACUUCCCACUUUGGGCUGCCUAGAACCAUAGUAUCAUCUUCCCAGAUCUUGCAUACUCUUGGGGCAGACUAGAGGUAAUGAAAAGAUGCCUCCUACACGCCUCCCCAAACCUGCAUCUCCACUUUUCACAUCUCCUGACUUUUCUGCAGUUAAGCAUUUAUAGUGGGUAGGCAUUUCUUUAGGAAGAUUAUGUGAUUCUAAUUGAUUUUGGAGCAUGUGAUUACUGACACAAUAGAAAGGAAAGCAAAGCACAGUGUUUUCUGUGCAAGCUGUCAGAUGCAUUCCAAUUUCUGUAACAAUGGUAAUUAAUCUUAGCUGGGUAGAAAAUUCAUUUUCUUUGAGGAAUCAGUGAACUAUAGAGAAAUUUGUCAGUAACCAUUGUUUGGGAUUUUAGUUGCCGUGUAGGAGGCACAAUAAUUUUACACUGACAGCUAAUAUAUCGAGAAACCAACCCAAAAUGGAGAAAGUGAUUUGGCAUUAUUGUGUAUUUCUGGAAAUGUGUGAUAAUGGGGCUGAAAUCAAAUAAAACAGUAAGCAGCCUGAUAUCAAAGCUUUACUUUUUUCUCCUCUAUUUUGUCAGCACUAAAAUGCAGUAUAAAAACAGAAAUGUAAAGAGAUGAGUGUGGUGUUCAAACGUUUUACAAUUAUCAAACAUAUUUAAGAGCAAGACCUUUGGGGUUUGAGGAAAACAUUAUUUAAUGGAAGUGUCAGGAGUAUGACCCAUAUUUCAGUUACUCUGUAAUUCACCUGUAAAUUUUCUGUGGUUUAGUGUUCUGUUAUCAGUAUUUUUGUCUGCUCAUAACUGAACUCAAAUAGAUUACUUUCACAUUUGUGGGUGUGUGUCACUAGUUUUAUGUUUUCUAGUUUUAUGAUGCAUUAUUGUAGUUGAACUCUGGUACUGGUUUUAGUUAGUCUAUCAAAGCAACGGGGAAUGUAUGACAAGUCAAAUCCGUAUAAAAUAAGGAUAUAACAGAAUGUUUCAUACUGUUUUUAUAUACACUGAUGAAGCUAUUCAUCUACUUUGAAAAAGUUUCUCAGUUCUGGUGGUAGAUUUGCACUAUUCCAUUCACACUUUGCCUCACGUCCCUGCCAAGGGGCAGAGAUAUUAUUCCUCUUUGUGAUAUCAUGGUCCAGCAUAUGUAAGCACAUUUUGCAGUCAUAUCAGUCAUUUUUGGGUGACAAGGGUAUCAGUUUCCAGCAAGCUUCUUUGUGGGGGCAAAGAGAACAUGAGGGAUCCAGGCUUUCUUUCCCUACUGAACCUUGCUUGUAAGUUUCCGCAAUACAAAGCCUUUGCCUUCCACUAUUUCAUGUGACGAUUUGUAAUUCUUUCUGAACCCUGGAGCUUAACAGGGAGUUGAUCACAAAGGGACUCACCCUGCAUGACAAUUCACUUUCAAAUGACCCAUUAAGGGAAGAAAAUUAAUAUUGCUAGCAAGAAUGUCAGUGCGGCAAUUUUUGUCUAUUUUAUUUAUUGCUUUAUCUCGAGCACCUAGAACAGUACCUGAUAUAGUAGUAGAAGCCAAUAAAUGUCUGUUCAAGAAGUGAAAAGAAAUUAGUAGGGGACAGAGACCAAGAUAUUUAGGUGACUUCUCACGCCAGCUAAAGAAACCCUGAGUAGCUUCCUUUUCUUUAGUUUCCCUGGCAGAAGACUACUGCCUAGAUAGAAAGGGUUCCUUAUCAGUUCUAAAGAUAAAAUGUGCUUUAUGCUUUCUGUCAUCUUCCAUUUAUCUAAAUCCCUUCCUCUAUUCCAAUCUAUCCAUUAGGGUUCAGAUCAAGUUCCAAAGCCAACAUAAGAUCUUUUAUAAUUACCCUUCUCUCAUGAUCUCCUUAUCCAAACACUCGGGAUCCCUUAUGAUUACUCUCUUACUAGAACACAUGUGGCCAGGUAUGUCUGUGGAGUCAUACAAAGCUUGAUAUUCCUGUCAUGCAAAUGGGCGGAGAUGUUCAGUGAAAAAUUCUAUAUAUGUAGCAGAGUUCAUGAGGGAGAACUGAGCUGGAGAUACAAAUGUGGAAGUCAUUAAUAUAUGGGUAGUUAUGAAAGUCACAGAGGAUGAGAUUACUCAGGGAGAAAGUCUAGAAUGAGAUGAGUCAAGAGUAAAGUAGCACUUUUCAAACCUGACUGUGCAGAUAGAUCACCUGGGUAUCUUGUUAAAUUGCAGAUUUUGAUCCAGAAGUUCCGGAGUGAGGCCUAGGAUUCUGAAUUUGCAUCAUGCUCCCAGAUGGUGAAGCUACUUUUGCUUAUUUACAGUCCACACUUGGAAAACCAAGGAGGUAGAUGAUUGAAACUUGAGUAACAAUGCCAUUUAAAUAAUAGGCAAAAGGAAAAAAGCUGCAAAGAGAAUGCUAAAAAGUGGCAGAGAUGGAAGAAGUCAAGAGAGAUAUUGGUGUCAUAGAGUCAAUUGUGGGAAGAUUUUCAAGACAGAGGAUGUGCCCAACUCUGUCAGAUACUGCUGAGAAACAGAAAGUUAAAGAUGGAACGGGCUCUUCUGGAUUUUUCAGAAGGAAGUAUCUGAUUAUUUUAGGGCAGUUUUAAUGGAGUAAGGAGGAUAGAUUGCUUCAAUGAAAAAUGCAGAGAAAGCAAGCAGUAGCAAUAAGUGGAUGUGGAUAACUUUCAAGCAAGAGAAAUUUGAGCGUGUUUAUAUGCUGAAGAGAAAGAGAAAGCAGAGAAGAAAAGAAAAGAUUGUAGCUGAAUUCACCAUCUACUUUUUGUUUGCUACCUUUUGGAGGAGCAGUUGAAGCAAUUUGGAACAGCAAUCCAAGGAGCAUCCUUGCAUUAACUGGUGCAUAUUUGUCAGAAGUCAUCUGAAUUGGCAACCUGCCAGUUAUGCAAAAGCUAAAAACCUGACCCAAACAAUGAAACUAGCUUUUUUUUUUUCCCCUGUAUGCUGAGCUGAUUCACUUUGAUUGAAAAUGGAUUUCUCCUAACAUUCAUAUAGUAAGCCAAAAGCAGGAUUCUGACUGGUCCUGCUUAGGUCACAUGCACAUUCCUGAAUACUACUGGGGUCAGUAGUAUGUGGCACUUGACUGACUCAGUUUGGGUCAUCUGCCAACCCUGUGGCUAGUGGAAAGUUUGUUACCAAAAAGAACAGAGGAAAAUGUGUAUACUGAGCAGAUGAAAAUAGUGGUUACUGCAGGCUACUCUAACCAGCAUGAAGUCUUCAAGCCUGAGCCUCUUAGUUCAGGGGAAGAUUGAGCUCUCUUUCUCUCUCUCUCUCUUUCUCUCUCUCCUUCUCAUUUGGUUUGGAUGUCUGAGUUCAAGUAGUUUGGGAUCAGUCACACAAAUAUGUGCAUCUGAGAGGGACAAAUCAUCCUGAAUCGUAGACUAGACAACCGGAAAAUAAACCACUUAUACCUUUCCUGAA